rnacentral:rRNA from 1 species
AUGGCUGGGCACUUUCAUGCUGCACCCAGGAAAGAACUAGAAACAAUUAGACAUAGCCGGGCAAGGUGGCGGCACAGAACGGGACAUCCUGUAACGUUGGAGUUGGACACACACAACUUCAUCAUCAAACAGCGAGGACACCACCACCACCACCCCUCCCUUCUCCGGGGAAGCUUUCCUUUCCUCCACGAUUCGAUGUUAACGCUGCAGUCGCAAGACCCUUCAUCUGUGAUCCUCCUUCCCGCGCAGUCUGUGGACAGGCUGGCCGCGGCGUCAAUGGAGAUGCUGGAGUCCAGGAGCCAGACGCCACCGUUGAUGACGACCCCUACUACAUUGGAGGUGCCUACUACUACGUGCUGCCCGCUGACGACGACCAGGAGUAGUUAG